GAUGAAGAACGUAGCGAAAUGUGAUAAGUAAUGCGAAUUGCAGAAUUCAGUGAGUCAUCGAAUCUUUGAACGCACAUUGCGCCCUGUGGUAUUCCGCAGGGCAUGCCUGUUCGAGCGUCAUUUCAACCCUCAAGCUCUGCUUGGUGUUGGGCCCUGCCCGCUGCGGCCGGCCCUAAAGACAGUGGCGGUGCCGCCUGGCCCUGAGCGUAGUACAUCUCUCGCUCCAGUGCCCGGUGGUAGCCUGCCAGAACCCCAACUCUCGUGGUUGACCUCGGAUCAGGUAGGGAUACCCGCUGAACUUAAGCAUAUCAAUAAGCGGAGGA
rnacentral:misc_RNA from 1 species